rnacentral:rRNA from 1 species
AGAACGAACGCUGGCGGCAUGCCUAACACAUGCAAGUCGAACGAGACCUUCGGGUCUAGUGGCGGACGGGUGAGUAACACGUGGGAACGUGCCCUUUGGUUCGGAAUAGCUCCUGGAAACGGGUGGUAAUGCCGAAUGUGCCCCCUCCCUUGAUCGGGGGGGUGGGAAAGAUUUAUCGCCAUUGGAGCGGCCCGCGUCUGAUUAGCUAGUUGGUGAGGUAAAGGCUCACCAAGGCGACGAUCAGUAGCUGGUCUGAGAGGAUGACCAGCCACAUUGGGACUGAGACACGGCCCAAACUCCUACGGGAGGCAGCAGUGGGGAAUCUUGCGCAAUGGGCGAAAGCCUGACGCAGCCAUGCCGCGUGAAUGAUGAAGGUCUUAGGAUUGUAAAAUUCUUUCACCGGGACGAUAAUGACGGUACCCGGAGAAGAAGCCCGGCUAACUUCGUGCCAGCAGCCGC